AAACAGUGCUUACAGUGCUCUGCUUGACCACCUCAUCUAGUCUGCAGAGGAGUUCCCCGAUGAGGAUGACAAGGUCUCAGGUUGGGAUAGUGACACUGCUACUGCUGGUCUACCUUCUGCCACCACCAAGUAGAAAGAAGGGACCUGUGAAGAUCAGUAUCAUGGAAGCUGUGGACCAUGUCGUCAAGUUUCAUAAGCUUCCACACAUGGCCUUAUGACUGUUAUCCCAGUGAAGCAUCUGAGGUCCAGCCUUCCUCACUCAAGACAUGCCUGAGACAAGAGUGACUGUAUUCUAGGAUCAUAUCUCACCUGUCUGCCAGCCAGCCUGCCUGCCUGCUCUUAACCCUUCAUCCACCAGUCAUCUCCAGCUAGCCACGCCAUUCCCUCUCACUCAUCCACAUUGCUCUUGUCUCUCCAGCCAUACCUCACCGCCCUCUGCCUCAGCCAGCUGCCUCUCUGCUCAUUCCACCCCCAGUCCCUGCUUCCCUUACAAUAAAUACCCUUUUCAAUUAA